AUCCAGCUGAUGAAUCCCAAAUAGGACGAAACGCACGUCCUUGAU
rnacentral:hammerhead_ribozyme from 1 species